UGCCUGGAGAGGUGAGUUCAUGGUCACUGGAGCACAGAGAAGCAUGCGAAGGACACGGGGAAGGGCCUGGAAAGAUCAUCCAGGGCUAGAACACGAAGGCCUUUGUCAGGUUUGGGUUUGGACUGUAUUCUCCCAGCCCGAGAGACACAGGAGGGUCGUGAGCCUCGGCAGUCUGGCGGUACCAUCCGUGCUGACUGGGAGGACGGCUCGCCGGGAGGCAGGGCAACACCAGGAAGCUGGUCGGGUCCUCCAGCAGACAGCCAGCUGAGAGCCAGAAGGAGUAAGGUGGGAGAAGUUGAAGGAGGAGAGGGGGCAGGAGGCGGGCACCUGAGGAGACAGACGGGUCGAGUGAAGGUCCCAGCCUGGGUGAAAGAUGGAUCUUUGGGAGGGUUUUGAAGUGCCUUUGUGCAUCUGAGCAGAUGUCUCCAGUUGGAAGUUUGCGGCAUAAGCAAGAGAUCCUAAUUUGGGUAUCUGACUUUCAGGCAGGGAUUGGAGCCCCUGGCCCAGCUCCCUCGGUCACGGUCAUGAGUGGAGGGUCUGGGAACCGCCCCAGUCUGGCUGAGCCCCUGCCAAUGCAGGUAAAAACACAGGGGUCUGUGGGGGUGGGGGACAGGAAGGACACUGCAAGCUGUAGAUCACUGUAAGCAUUUUGGACAAGAGUGCUAUCCUGGGCUUCUACAUCUCUCGAACCUUCUGCUGGCUCUCCUUCAUACUUCAUAAAAAUUCUUUAAAACCAGCUAUAACCACCACAAGAAAAAGCAACCCAAACAAAUGCUAAAACGGCAGCCAGUGCUCUCUGAGCCUCUCCACCUAUUUUUUAUUUGCUUGCACGGAGCUCCAUGCUAUAAAUAUGCUCAUGGCAUCCGCACAGGAACUCAAAUGCCAGCACAGCCGACGAAGCUGACUAACCACAAAAAUGCCAACUCACCAGACUGAGGAGAAAGAGCUGCUCUGAGCGAAAAUCAGUCAUUGCGGAAGAUGAGGCACAAAAGGAUUUGAAACCACAAUAAAAAUGAGCCUUAACCAGUUAUGAAGCAGUUGACAAGCAAACAAUCAGGCAUUCAACCAAGCCAACACCAUUCCUGAGCUCCAGUCUAGACUAAGAGGCACAGAAACGACUGGCCAAGCGCUAAGGCAGGUGCGUGAGGAACUGAGAUGCCAGGUGGACUGUGCUGGAGUAAAGCCUCUCAGGAUUCCUGACACAGGGUUGUAACCCAGACUUCCUGCUCACAACCAAACUCAUCGCUGCAGGGACCCUGGGAGGCAGUGGGAUACGCCACACAAGAAUGUUCCACAAGAAAAGGCACGGCAGCUGAUUUUGCUCUAGAAGAAGGAAAACAGUUUUCACGGACUCUAGUAAAUGUCCUACGGUGAAGACAGGAGACCUCCCCACAGGACUGGUCUGGUUCGAAGGCCUGCAUCCACCACAAGGGGAGAGGACGCUGGGAGAAAUUGCCUGUCGUUGAGGCCAGAGAAGCAAGGAGCUUAACCACCGCUGAUUGGCAUGCUGAUUGGCAUGAUCGUCAACCGCAUCCCCUUCUGGCUCACUUAAAAAGGAUUGCUCACCGUGAAGCUACUAUGAAGAUGUGCACUCCGGGGGAGGGCUGCAAAUCAUUGUCUCACCCACAUGGUCACCCCCCACUCCUCUUCAGCUCCUGGAGCAUCCUGGCAGGACAACACCGCUCCACGGGUGAAAUCCCUGAUCACAGUCCUCCUGAGAGAGGAGCUUCCUUUCUGCUCCAGACAGACACCCUCCUGUCUCUCAACCCCCUAGGGUCCGAGCCUGCUCUUGCCCCCACACCCCAGGGACCCUGCCUCAAUCUUCUCUGCACGUCGUCCCCGCCACUCUUCAGACGUGCUCCCCUCGGGGAUGCUGCACCCCUGCUCACCCCCCGUGGCUUCUUCCAUUUCCUCUGCUGCCUCUUGCUCGGCCAUGAGCUACACGUUUAUGGAAAGUUGACAAUAAGGUGUAUUCUGUCCCUGGCUCUCCUCUGCCUCACUGUUGUUUCUUGCAGGACAGGAUUCUUCUUGUGGGUAACUCCCAUAUCUACAUCACUGCACCGGAUUUCUUUCCCAAGCCUGAGACCUGCGUUUCCAACUGCCGGGAGGACUUCAUUACUGACCCCUCAAAGCUGAUGUGACCCAGAGCAAACUCAGCUUCCCUCCGUUAUAUUUGCUUCUUCCUUUCUUCUUUCGGCUUCCUGAUUUUGUGAGCAUCCUCCCAGGUAACCAGGAUCAAAAUUCUCGGGGCCUCCCCCUGGCCUUUUCCUUGGUCCCGUGGGCCCGACUUGUCUGCUCGGCGACAUCUCAACCUCCGGUCUCCCCACCCCUCCUGGCUAGACUUCUGCAACCCUUCCAAGUGAAUCUGCUGCCAAGCUUCUAAUAAAUGCAGCAGACCCUUCUUGAGAACUGUGUGUGCCCACAGCCGAUCCCACAUGCCUCUCUGCAGGCCUCUUGCCCAGACCCCAGCUCCCUGCAGGCUGAUGUUGCACGGGGCACAGUCUACCGAGGCGCAUCGUGCUAGAGAAUCCAGGUCUGGGGAACGAGUCGGCUGGUGUUCACUCUGCCUGCCAGGCCUUUCGGGGCUGGAAUUUGGGACACAGCUCCGAAAGCCAAAGGUUGUAAGAGGCUUUCUCUGAGUGCAUUUGAACAGCUGGGCAAAAUAUCCUGGCUUUCAAAAAGAAAGGCUUUCUUCCUGUUUUCAGAAGUCACCAAGCCUGUUUCCUGGUUUUUGAAGAAACAGGGUCACCUGGGCUUUGGCCAGGCUGAAACAGCCCAUCCCCUCAUCAGGUCACCUGCCACAUGGACCAGAGCUGCCACAGUUACACCUGCUCAAGACGCCCCAGCCUACGGGAAGAUUUAAGACUGCAUUCGCACACAUCUCACUGGCCAGACAACAAACUGUGAGUGGAUUUCUCCAGAGUUGUAAGUUCUCUGACUCCAUUAAGAAAGCAUCGUCUCACUUUGUAGGAAUGAUGAGGCAACAGAACAUGGCAGAAUGCAACCGAGCGUUUCCAGGUAGACUUUGGGAGGUAAAAUAAGAAGUUAGAUCCUGUGGAAUCUUUUUUAAUUUUGAAAAGUGGCAUUUCUCUUACAUUCACAGCCCCAACCUACAGUGUGGCCCUAAAGUGGGGUUUCCAACCUUUCUCCAUUUUCAAUGAGGCGGUUUCUCAACCCUGGCUCUGCUCUCCUCCCUGGGGCAUCUUGGCAAUGCCUCCCACUUCCUUCUAAUGCACGGCGAGAACGGCAUGUGAAUCAUCCUAAAGCACACACAUGAAGUCGGACACCAGAGCACGUUCAUGUCACUACGCAGGAGAGCAGCCCCGUGAACCUGUUCAACGGACACUCGCAUCCCACUGUCUGGAUCACCUGGGGCAAGACCAGCUCAUCGGCAGCUCCUUUAGGCCCCUGAGCCGUUAAAUGCCCCGAGACCGCUUUAAAGUAAAUUCUCACCUCCCGUGAGGAUACAGUAUACAAUGGCUCCCGCCUCUGCCUAAAACACAGAAAGUUUUUGCUAUUUUCUCCUGGAGUUUUUCAAAUGUAUGUUUAGUAGAAGAUCAACUCCCUGAGAGUCUGCAUAGAAUGGUCUGAAAACAACAACAACAACAACCCUAAUAAUUUUCUGGAAAGGUUCUAAUUUUACAGAAGGGUACACUGGAUUUUGCAUCCUAUGACACAUGAGGUGUUUCCUGAUUUCUUGCACCAGGUUAAUGUUUUAUUCAGUAUUAAACGGACUUAAUAUUAUUUUGAACCAAUCUGUUCAUGGACGUUUAGAUUAUUUACAAUCUUUCAAUUCUAACAUGGCUAUCUCUGUUGUACAUCAUUUCACAUUAUAAAUGUAUCCUUAUGGUACAUUCCUAGAUGCGGGAUUCAAGGACAAGUGUGUGCGUGGUACGUAGGGUUCUACAUUUUUCCAACCACUUCCUCAACAUAGUGCAACAGAAUACUGAAAACUGCAUGAGUGAUACAGAUACUUCACAGACGACUAUAAAGCAAGAGCCAGUGACUACCGUCAAAUCCCCCUGGGAAUCCCUCAGUACGCCUGUUCUUUAGAACCCUCGUCGGCUUUCCAGAAGUACAUAUCUUUAUUUUGUGAUAUUCACUGAAUUAUAAGAAAACAUGCAUUUUGAAGAAUUAUAAACCAAAGGGGGGGAAAAUCCAGGAUGAGAUCUAAAUAUACAUAGAAUUUAACUGGGAAAUUUUUUUUUUAGUUUAUUUAUUUGAGAGAGAGAGAGAG